rnacentral:rRNA from 1 species
UACAGAGGGUGCAAGCGUUAAUCGGAAUUACUGGGCGUAAAGCGUGCGUAGACGGUUAUUUAAGUCAGGUGUGAAAGCCCCGGGCUCAACCUGGGAAUUGCAUUUGAGACUGAAUAGCUAGGGUGCGGAAGAGGGAAGCGGAAUUUCCGGUGUAGCGGUGAAAUGCGUAGAUAUCGGAAGGAACACCAGUGGCGAAAGCGGCUUCCUGGUCCAGCACCGACGUCAGACACGAAAGCGUGGGGAGCAAACAGG